ACUCAUUCAUUCAAUGUAUCCAUUUACUUAUUCAUUCAAUGUAUAACUAAUGAAAAUGUCUACAUUAUUAUUAGGGCUAGAAAAAUGCAUACAGGAUGGCUCCCAAAUUUGAGAUGCUUUGGAAACAGCACUAGUUACGACUCAACAUAUUGCACAGAAAGAGAAAAAGAUGUCCCUGAAUACCUUCUGCGGAGAUAAGUUACAAUUACCUGUAGUACUUGAAUAUGAUCAGCAUCCAGCUUUAUCAACAACUUAGAAGCAGGAUCCAGUGAGGAAUAAAAAGUGUCUGGGAAUGGGAUAGAAAGGAGGACAAUGACAGUGGAGAAAAGUAUAAAGAGCUUCAGGGGUCCUUCAGUGAAACUUGGCUAUUUUCCUGAUGGAGUACACAAUCUAUUUCCAAACUAUACAUCUCACAAAUGGUCUGUUGCAGUGUGUAAUGGGGUCAGGUGGGAUGAAACUGAUUGAGAAAGCAGAGAAAUAUAUAUGCUUUUACUGAAAAAGUAAGUAAUGUCUAUAAUAAUAUGUGUAAUGCAAUUUUAUUGGUGUAUCAAGUGUUAUAUUUAUAGGG
rnacentral:lncRNA from 1 species